rnacentral:tRNA from 1 species
GCCGAAGUGGCGGAAUGGCAGACGCGCCGGAUUCAAAAUCCGGUCCCCUUCGGGGGGUGUGGGUUCAAGUCCCACCUUCGGCA